rnacentral:lncRNA from 1 species
UAGAAAGUUCUGUCUAAGGAGAGGUUUGGUCACCUAAUUGCGCGCCAGUAAGGAGAAAUCCUUAUCGGAAAGCCCCCUCUUUCCUGGGAAAGGCCUGGUUGUCAUAAUUGUGAUUCUGUAAUAUUAUUUAUGAAUAAUUAAUUAUUAAUUUAUAUGAUAAGGAAAUAUUUAUUUUAUAAUUGAUGGUUAUAUUUAUUUUAUGUG